rnacentral:misc_RNA from 1 species
UAAUAAGUGUUUUAUGGCACUUUUUAAAUCCAUAUCCACCUUGUGUGCAAUGUCAGUCGUUUCUCUUCUUCGGGAGGGGAACGACCAAACAUCAACUUAUUCUUAAACUCUUUGUCUGAAAAAUAUUAUGAAUAAAAAAAUAAUUCAAAAUA